GACGAACGCUGGCGGCGUGCCUAAUACAUGCAAGUAGAACGCUGAAGAGAGGAGCUUGCUCUUCUUGGAUGAGUUGCGAACGGGUGAGUAACGCGUAGGUAACCUGCCUUGUAGCGGGGGAUAACUAUUGGAAACGAUAGCUAAUACCGCAUAACAAUGGAUGACACAUGUCAUUUAUUUGAAAGGGGCAAUUGCUCCACUACAAGAUGGACCUGCGUUGUAUUAGCUAGUAGGUGAGGUAACGGCUCACCUAGGCGACGAUACAUAGCCGACCUGAGAGGGUGAUCGGCCACACUGGGACUGAGACACGGCCCAGACUCCUACGGGAGGCAGCAGUAGGGAAUCUUCGGCAAUGGGGGCAACCCUGACCGAGCAACGCCGCGUGAGUGAAGAAGGUUUUCGGAUCGUAAAGCUCUGUUGUAAGUCAAGAACGAGUGUGAGAGUGGAAAGUUCACACUGUGACGGUAGCUUACCAGAAAGGGACGGCUAACUACGUGCCAGCAGCCGCGGUAAUACGUAGGUCCCGAGCGUUGUCCGGAUUUAUUGAGCGUAAAGCGAGUGCAGGCGGUUUGAUAAGUCUGAAGUUAAAGGCUGUGGCUCAACCAUAGUUCGCUUUGGAAACUGUCAAACUUGAGUGCAGAAGGGGAGAGUGGAAUUCCAUGUGUAGCGGUGAAAUGCGUAGAUAUAUGGAGGAACACCGGUGGCGAAAGCGGCUCUCUGGUCUGUAACUGACGCUGAGGCUCGAAAGCGUGGGGAGCGAACAGGAUUAGAUACCCUGGUAGUCCACGCCGUAAACGAUGAGUGCUAGGUGUUGGAUCCUUUCCGGGAUUCAGUGCCGCAGCUAACGCAUUAAGCACUCCGCCUGGGGAGUACGACCGCAAGGUUGAAACUCAAAGGAAUUGACGGGGGCCCGCACAAGCGGUGGAGCAUGUGGUUUAAUUCGAAGCAACGCGAAGAACCUUACCAGGUCUUGACAUCCCGAUGCUAUUUCUAGAGAUAGAAAGUUACUUCGGUACAUCGGUGACAGGUGGUGCAUGGUUGUCGUCAGCUCGUGUCGUGAGAUGUUGGGUUAAGUCCCGCAACGAGCGCAACCCCUAUUGUUAGUUGCCAUCAUUCAGUUGGGCACUCUAGCGAGACUGCCGGUAAUAAACCGGAGGAAGGUGGGGAUGACGUCAAAUCAUCAUGCCCCUUAUGACCUGGGCUACACACGUGCUACAAUGGUUGGUACAACGAGUUGCGAGUCGGUGACGGCAAGCUAAUCUCUUAAAGCCAAUCUCAGUUCGGAUCGUAGGCUGCAACUCGCCUACAUGAAGUCGGAAUCGCUAGUAAUCGCGGAUCAGCACGCCGCGGUGAAUACGUUCCCGGGCCU
rnacentral:rRNA from 1 species